ACACGUAGGGGGCGAGCGUUAUCCGGAUUUACUGGGCGUAAAGCGCGCGCAGGCGGCUUCGUAAGUCGGACGUGAAAGCCCCCGGCUCAACCGGGGGAGGCCGUUCGAUACUGCGAGGCUUGAGGUCGGGAGAGGGGCGUGGAAUUCCCGGUGUAGCGGUGGAAUGCGUAGAUAUCUGGAGGAACACCAGCGGCGAAGGCGGCGCUCUGGGCCGGUACUGACGCUAAGGAGCGAAAGCCUGGGGAGCAAACAGGAUUAGAAACCCCGGUAGUCC
rnacentral:rRNA from 1 species